CUGCGCUGGCAUUGGUCCUUUGAGAGAAGUCGCUCGAUCGAAACGACGCUUUUCACCACUCCUCUCUCGCGCAGCGACAGAGCACCCACUCACGUACACGAUGACCGGCCUCUCCAACGGGCACGUCGGCAAGCGCAAGGCGGGCGAUAUCACCUUCGACGAAGUCGACGGCUUCAGCGCCGCCCAGCUUUUCGGCCAGGGUACGUGCGAUGUUGUUAGCGACAAAAGUGCCCUUUGACGAACCGACGGCGCCGCGAUUUCGCUGUUGCCAACUCCCUCGCGACGGAGCCUGACCGAACCCCGACCGACCCUUCGUUCUCGUCUGCAGGCGUCUGCUACACCUACGAUGAUGUCAUCUUCCACCCCGGUCACAUCGACUUCCCCGCGACCGACGUGAGUGCCGGAACAAGGCCCCCUCCUCUCCGCCGCCCCGACGAGCCCCGCCGCACCUUUUUGAAUCACUCGCGCCGACCUUCCCUUGUGCCCCGUGCCUGACCACAAACCGUCCCGAAAACGCACAGGUGGACCUCACGACCAAGCUGACUCGCAAUAUCAGCAUCCGCACCCCCAUCGUCUCCUCUCCCAUGGACACCGGUGCGCUCCCCAAGCCGCCCCGUCACCACGCCGCUUGGAUCUGAAUUUUUUUUUCGCCAAGCUGGCCGGAACGCGCCCCUCUCCUCCCCGACCCGGCGCUAACGUCGUUCCUCCCAACCUUCCCCCGCGUCGCGACAGUCACCGAAUCCGACAUGGCGAUCGCCAUGGCCUCCGUGGGCGGCGCCGGCUUCCUCCACUACAACAUGACCCAGGACGAGCAGGUUGCCCACCUCAAGGCUGUCAAGGCGCACAGGCUCGGGUACGUCACCCGACCGGAGGUUCGCGGCCCCGACGCCACCCUCGCCGAGUGCGACGCCCUCGCCACCUCCCGUGGGUUCACCUCCGUCGUCGUCACCGACACCGGCAUCAUCGGCGGCAAGCUCCUCGGCUUGGUCAGCUCCCGCGACGGCGACCUCGUGAUGGACCGAUCCACCAAGCUCAAGGACGUCAUGACCAAGGCUGCUGACCUCGUCACCGGCAAGGCGUCCGACGCCAUCGAGAAGCUCGAGGACGCUCUCCUCGCGUCCAAGAAGGGUAAGCUCCCGGUGGUCAACGACAAGG
rnacentral:lncRNA from 1 species